GAUGAACGCUGGCGGCGUGCCUAAUACAUGCAAGUCGAGCGAACAGAUGAGGAGCUUGCUCCUCUGACGUUAGCGGCGGACGGGUGAGUAACACGUGGAUAACCUACCUAUAAGACUGGGAUAACUUCGGGAAACCGGAGCUAAUACCGGAUAAUAUAUUGAACCGCAUGGUUCAAUAGUGAAAGACGGUUUUGCUGUCACUUAUAGAUGGAUCCGCGCCGCAUUAGCUAGUUGGUAAGGUAACGGCUUACCAAGGCAACGAUGCGUAGCCGACCUGAGAGGGUGAUCGGCCACACUGGAACUGAGACACGGUCCAGACUCCUACGGGAGGCAGCAGUAGGGAAUCUUGCGCAAUGGGCGAAAGCCUGACGGAGCAACGACGCGUGAGUGAUGAAGGUCUUCGGAUCGUAAAACUCUGUUAUUAGGGAAGAACAAAUGUGUAAGUAACUAUGCACGUCUUGACGGUACCUAAUCAGAAAGCCACGGCUAACUACGUG
rnacentral:rRNA from 1 species